AUGGAGAUGAAACCCAAAAGAUUUUCAUUGGGGCGUAACCCUCUUAGCGACGCGCCACAUCGGAACCCGGGUGUGGUGGAAAAUGGGCAAGGGCCGGGCCGUCACCCCCCAGGUGGCGCGCCGUAUCUUGAUCCUUAUACGGUGGCAAGUGAGCGAGGAUCGGGUCGUCGCAUCCUUAGUGGCGCGCUACAUCGGCGCCCGGAUGUAGUGGAAAAUAAGCAAGGGUCUUCACAUUUGACUCGACGAGUGCGAAGGGUAAGGAAGCUAGCCGAGCCUAGGAGGAUUCGCUUAGGUAGCUGGAACGUAGGGUCUCUGACAGGGAAGCUUCGGGAGCUAGUUGAUGCAGCGGUGAGGAGAGGUGUUGAUAUCUUUUGCGUCCAAGAAACCAAAUGGAGAGGACAGAAGGCAAAGGAGGUGGAGGAUACCGGCUUCAAGCUGUGGUACACGGGGACGGCUGCAAAGAGAAAUGGCGUUGGCAUCUUGAUCAACAAGAGCCUCAAGUAUGGAGUGGUAGACGUCAAGAGACGUGGGGACCGGAUUAUCCUGGUCAAGCUGGUAGUUGAGGACUUGGUUCUCAAUGUUAUCAGCGCGUAUGCCCCGCAAGUAGGCCACAAUGAGAACACCAAGAGGGAGUUCUGGGAAGGCAUGGACGACAUGGUUAGGAGUGUACCGAUUGGUGAGAAGCUCUUCAUAGGAGGAGACCUCAAUGGCCACGUGGGUACAUCUAACACAGGUUUCGAAGGGGCGCAUGGGGGCUUUGGCUAUGGCAUCAGGAAUCAAGAAGCAGAAGAUGUCUUAAGCUUUGCUCUAGCCUACAACAUGAUUGUAGCUAACACCCUCUUUAGAAAGAGAGAAUCACAUCUGGUGACUUUUAGUAGUGGCCAACACUCUAGCCAGAUUGAUUUCAUCCUCUCGAGAAGAGAAGAUAGGCGUGCGUGCCUAGACUGUAAGGUGAUACCUGGAGAGAGUGUUGUACCCCAGCAUAAGCUGGUGGUUGUUGACUUCCGCUUUCGGAUUCGUGUCCAGCGGGAUAAGCGUGCCAAAGUCGCUAGAACGAAGUGGUGGAAGCUCAAGGGGGAGGUAGCUCAGGCGUUCAAGGAGAGGGUCAUUAAGGAGGGCCCUUGGGAGGAGCAGGGGAUGUGGACAAUGUGUGGAUGA
rnacentral:rRNA from 1 species